rnacentral:lncRNA from 1 species
GUUUUGAUCAAGUGAGGUUUAAGGCUAAAAUUAUCACAAUAACAGCAGCACAAGAUUUUAAUUGAUGCAAUUUUAAAAAUGAAGCAGUAGUAUAAACCAAUACUAAAUAGAGAUCAAGGACUCCCUGUUGUUUAGUUUUGAUUAUUUGUAUGUCGCUUGAUCUGAAUUACCGACUUAUAAGCCCCAACUAUGCUUCUGUUCUUCCCUUCGUAUCCAAUGGUUUUAGCCCCUGUAGACUGUAACUUGUGCUGGUUCUAGUGUGGACGUAAAACUGUGUGUAGUGACUGUGGCUUUUAGAUUGUUGAGAUGGACGAGAAAAUAUAUGAGUGUGGUAAUUGUGGUGGAAGUGUAUGAUCUUGAGUAGGUUGUGGUGGCCUAUGGCGAUGAAGCGGUAGUGCUCUGGAUGCUUGGGUACAAUAGAUAAUGAAGUGGUGGCGUGAUGGUGAUUAGAGGCGGCAGCGGCAAGAGAGUGGUUAUGAGAGAGAAAUCGGGUGAAACUGUGGGGUAUUGAUUUUAAUGGAUUGGUUAUAAUCGGGUUUGGUUGGAUAUUUGGGACUGAUCAUGGGUUGAAUGGUGUUUGGCCGAUUGUGAUAAUAUGUGAUAAGUGGGUUGGAUUUAGUGUUUAUUGGGCUGAAAAGCAAGUGGAUUGGCUAAAUAGAUGAUGAGAGAUGGGCUGUGCGUUUAGUGGGCUUUGGGAGUAAUUUGGGCCACUAGUUUAUGGCCCAAGUGUUUUGAUAAAAAAAUGAAUGGAGUAGGUUAUAGAGAUGGAAUAUAUGGGUUGAAGGGUUAAGUAGGCUUGAAUGCUAGGGUUUGGGAUUUGUGGAACAA